rnacentral:lncRNA from 1 species
CCUAAUAUUGAAUGAGGUGGAUAAUUCCUUCUUCUGACAAAGAUUAAUGAUAGAUAAAUAAUAGAAUAUUGGGACCUUUCUCGAAUCUGAUAGAUAAGUGUGAAUAAUAGACAAUCGAAUAUCUUGACAAUCGAAUCUGAUAGAUAAGUGGAAUUGACACACCAUUGUUCCACACUCUCCAGCACCUUAUGGACGCCGCCGGUGAAGAUUCCGACAAGUCCGUCAACGCCCCAUCAAGGAACUAUGUACGUGACGCUAAGGCAAUGGCUGCAACACCAGCCGACGUGAAGGAAUACCCUAAUUCCUAUGUUUUCGUUGUGGACAUGCCAGGGUUGAAAUCCGGAGAUAUUAAGGUGCAGGUGGAAGAUGACAACGUGUUGUUGAUCAGUGGAGAAAGGAAGAGAGAAGAAGAGAAAGAAGGGGCUAAGUAUAUUAGAAUGGAGAGAAGGACUGGAAAAUUCAUGAGGAAAUUUUCUCUGCCGGAGAAUGCGAAUACUGAUGCCAUUUCUGCUAUUUGACAAGACGGGGUCUUGACUGUUACUGUCCAGAAGUUGCCUCCUCCAGAGCCCAAGAAACUCAAAACUAUCGAGGUCAAAAUUGCAUGAGAUAUUAGAGUAGUUAAUAAUUACUCUGUUUUCUGGACAUGGGAUUGGGAAAUGCUCUGUUUUGAUGGUAAUAAAAUGGUAGAGAUCUAGGAGUGGUGGUCUUUCCCUCUGUUUGUCUUUAAUAUUUCCCAUGUUUUUUGAAGUAUGAUGAAAUGUGAAGAACUAGAUGUCUAGGUGUGCCAUCUCUUCUUGUUUACUGCAGGGGAGAUGCUACUACUAUCUAGUUUAUUUUCUUCGACUACUAUCAAUAUAGAGAGUGCAAUUGUUCCUAUCCAAUGCAUAAGUGCAAUUAUCUCAAUAUGGAGAAUGCAAUUUCUUUUUAUCUGAACUCCUUUAUGUCUAUGUUUGACCAAAAAAUUGCAAACCCUUCGUUAAACUAAUUAAUUUUGUGUCAUGAGGAAUUAAAGAUAACAACCUCAGAUCUAUAAAUGACAGCAGUGAGAGGAGAUUAAAUAUGGUGUGCAUUCCAUGUCUAGACAUAAUUAACGAUGAUGGACUAUCAAGCAAUAAAUAGCAUUAAAUGACAUUAAAGUAAAUAAGGAGAAGAAUUUACCUAAUAUUGAAUGGGGUGGAUAAUUCCUUCUUCUAACAAAGAUUAAUGAUAGAUAAAUAAUAGAAUAUUGGGACCUUUCUCGAAUCUGAUAGAUAAGUGUGAAUAAUAGACAAUCGAAUAUCUUUACAAUCGAAUCUGAUAGAUAAGUGGAAUUGACACACCACUGUUCCACACUCUCCAGCACCUUAUGGACGCCGCCGGUGAAGAUUCCGACAAGUCCGUCAACGCCCCAUCAAGGAACUAUGUACGUGACGCUAAGGCAAUGGCUGCAACACUAGCCGACGUGAAGGAAUACCCUAAUUCCUAUGUUUUCGUUGUGGACAUGCCAGGGUUGAAAUCCGGAGAUAUUAAGGUGCAGGUGGAAGAUGACAACGUGCUGCUGAUCAGUGGAGAAAGGAAGAGAGAAGAAGAGAAAGAAGGGGCUAAGUAUAUUAGAAUGGAGAGAAGGAUUGGAAAAUUCAUGAGGAAAUUUCUCUGCCGGAGAAUGCGAAUACUGAUGCCAUUUCUGCUAUUUGUCAAGACGGGGUCUUGACUGUUACUGUCCAGAAGUUGCCUCCUCCAGAGCCCAAGAAACCCAAAACUAUCGAGGUCAAAAUUGCAUGAGAUAUUAGAGUAGUUAAUAAUUACUCUGUUUUCUGGACAUGGGAUUGGGAAAUGCUCUGUUUUGAUGGUAAUAAAAUGCUAGAGAUCUAGGAGUGGUGGUCUUUCCCUCUGUUUGUCUUUAAUAUUUCCCAUGUUCCUAUCCAAUGCAUAAGUGCAAUUAUCUCAAUAUGGAGAAUGCAAUUUCUUUUUAUCUGAACUCCUUUAUGUCUAUGUUUGACCAAACAAUUGCAAACCCUUCGUUAAACUAAUUAAUUUUGUGUCAUGAGGAAUUAAAGAUAACAACCUCAGAUCUAUAAAUGACAGCAGUGAGAGGAGAUUAAAUAUGGUGUGCAUUCCAUGUCUAGACAUAAUUAACGAUGAUGGACUAUCAAGCAAUAAAUAGCAUUAAAUGACAUUAAAGUAAAUAAGGAGAAGAAUUUACCUAAUAUUGAAUGGGGUGGAUAAUUCCUUCUUCUGACAAAGAUUAAUGAUAGAUAAAUAAUAGAAUAUUGGGACCUUUCUCGAAUCUGAUAGAUAAGUGUGAAUAAUAGACAAUCGAAUAUCUUUACAAAGGUAAUGUUUGUAUUUUAUCUAGAGAGAGUCAGCUUUUCAAAGAGUGUUAUUAUCAGACAAUAUUACAUGUCUUUCACCUUAUCUCUCUAUCUACUUAUAUGGACAUACCCCUAAUCAAUCCUAAAAGUAUAAGUACAGUUCUCCUAAAAUAUCAUAUUACAAAAUUAGAUGUUGCUAUUGCUCCUAACAUUUGACCUAGGCCAUCAUUGGCUGCCCGGCUAUGAAAAUUAUGUACUAGGUGACCUCGACCAAAUUACUUUUCGUAAUACCUCUUCAUGUUAAAUUUUCUUGAGGCAGAUUUUGACAUAUACAGUUAGUCCCUUCGCUUAUUGAGGUCGACUCUGGACGAUCUUGAUGAGCGGACUUUGUUAAUCACGAUUAGAAAUUUAGGCGAGUAUAUUGAAUAGUAACGUUUCAGACGUGAUGGCUACGUGGCACUUUGCGAGUCGUCUCUUAUAGUCACAUCGAUUCAGAGUGACGUCAUGAUACCAUUUUCCCGAUGUAUAGUAUCGUUUCUUGUGCCUCUGCCAUUUCGAUACCUGCACUGGGCAUUGACAAUUUGUUUCCUCGAUAUUAAUGCCCGAGUUCUUAUUCAUGGGAGGCCCAUGUACUAUUUCUUCCACUGCUAGCUAGAGCAUGCGCUAUCGUAUUCGUCUCACGCUAGAUAUGGACAUAUGGUGUAUGGAAGGAUGGUUCAUUGCUCGAAGGAGAAACUUGUGAACUUGUUGUAUGGUUGAUAGUAAGUUAUCCCAACAAUGAUCUAAGUUCCUAGGAGAAUAGCCUAAGAUAUCUAUGUGAAUUUCCUAACAUAUUUUGCUAUUUGAGUCUCACUUCACUUUCCAUCAAACCUUGUUUGAAACUUACGCAUCCCUGUCCAAAAUGUUGCUUUUAUAUAGCAAAACAAAAAAAAUAUUUAAGUUAUCUGCACUGUUAGGUAAAGAUAAUUUUAAUGAUCAGUGUGUUUUAAUAUAUUAUAAUGAUAAAUUAAUUAAUCUACUAUAAAUAUUUAUAAAAUAAUUAUUUUCACGUGAUAUGGUUAUAUAAAUAAUUUUUGCACGACAAAUGAAUAGAGCUAAAAGUUAAAAGACAAAUAAAAAAAGAGCCCAAAUGGAGAGGAGUAAAAAUGUAAAAUACAUUACAUGCUAGCAAUUUGAACGACAUGUAACUCGACCACAUUCUAGACGAAUGUAGAACAUGGACAACGUCUAAACAGAAACUCCUAGAAACUUGCCACCUUCCUCUUCUAUUUCUCUCCAGAAGCUUCCCUGUUUCCACUAUUUAAUCACCCAAUCUUCAUUCUUCCCUCAACAUCCCCAGCAAUUCAAUUCUAAAACUCACAAAAUUCCACAUCCAAAAAAAUCCCAGGAUCAUUGGAACCAAGUCAACCAAGAAGAGGAGAAUGAAUUUCAGGCUAAUGGGAAUUGACACACCACUGUUCCACACUCUCCAGCACCUUAUGGACGCCGCCGGUGAAGAUUCCGACAAGUCCGUCAAUGCCCCAUCAAGGAACUAUGUACGUGACGCUAAGGCAAUGGCUGCAACACCAGCCGACGUGAAGGAAUACCCUAAUUCCUAUGUUUUCGUUGUGGACAUGCCAGGGUUGAAAUCCGGAGAUAUUAAGGUGCAAGUGGAAGAUGACAACGUGCUGUUGAUCAGUGGAGAAAGGAAGAGAGAAGAAGAGAAAGAAGGGGCUAAGUAUAUUAGAAUGGAGAGAAGGAUUGGAAAAUUCAUGAGGAAAUUUACA